GGGAGUAUAGCUCAAUGGUAGAGCAGUUGACUUUUAAUCAACCGGUUAUAGGUUCGAUCCCUAUUGUUCUCA
rnacentral:tRNA from 1 species